UACGUAGGGGGCUAGCGUUGUCCGGAUUUAUUGGGCGUAAAGAGCGUGUAGGCGCCAGGUAGGUCUGCUGUGAAAACUCGAGGCUCAACCUCGAGACGUCGGCGGAAACCAUCUGGCUAGAGUCCGGAAGAGGAGAGUGGAAUUCCUGGUGGUAGCGGUGAAAUGCGCAGAUAUCAGGAAGAACACCCGUGGCGAAGGCGGCUCUCUGGGACGGUACUGACGCUGAGAGCGAAAGCGUGGGGAGCGAACAGG
rnacentral:rRNA from 1 species